rnacentral:tRNA from 1 species
GCCUGUUUGGCUCAGUGGAUAGAGUAUCAGGCUGCAGACUGAAGAGUUGUGGGUUCGAUUCCAGUCAAGGGCA